GCGGGGGUAGCUCAGCUGGCAGAGCAUUUGCUUCCCAAGCAGAGGGUCGCGGGUUCGAAUCCCGUCCCCCGCUCCA
rnacentral:tRNA from 1 species